UCUAUGUAAAUAUGCACCAGAAGGACGCGCUGAAACGCCACAUUCUCUAGACGCCUAUUCAGGUUAAGAAAACGCGUCUCGAGACACGUUCAGUUCCAUUCGCUGCUAUCCGUCAAGGACAAUUUGGGCGUGAACAACCCCUGAGUAAAACGAUUCCGCUCUCGAAACUUGUAGUAGUCCUCACAAAGAGAGCGGCUCAUCAUCUGGAGUUGAGCAGAUCGCAGUUCGCCGGGCUCCGCGUCCCUCACUCGGCUGAGACCAUGAAGAGAAGGCUUCAAAAGAAAUACGUCAUCUUAAUUUUAGGAUAUUCCGUUGCGCUGCUUUUGGUUCCCUAUGUAUUAGACUACCGAAGCAAAUCCUCUCACAUUAAAGAUGGAUUUCAACAACAAAAGUGUCCCGACCUUGAGAGCACCAUCGCCCUGUGGAGCAGCUCCAGAGACAGGACGAGCAACUCAACGGAGAUGGACGACUAUGGCAACAGGAGUCACUCCAGAACACACAUAUACCUGCAUGCAACCUGGAGGACAGGCUCUUCCUUUUUGGGGGAAUUAUUUAAUCAGCACCCUGACGUGUUUUAUUUAUACGAGCCCAUGUGGAAUAUGUGGCAGGCUCUCUAUCCAGGAGACGCUGGCAGUUUACAAGGGGCGGUUCGAGAUAUGAUGAACUCACUGUUCAGAUGCGAUUUCUCCGUGUUAAAACUCUACGCGGGCUCCGCCAACAUAAGCACCUCGCUUAUUUUCGGCUGGAAAAUGAACAAGGUCAUUUGCUCCGAGCCUCUGUGCAAAGCGUAUAAAAAGCACGAAAUCGGGUUGGUUCAAGGCGAGCUGUGCGGUAAAUGCCAACCCGUGGAUCUUAAAGAGUUGGAACGAGAGUGUAAAAAGUACCCGGUGAUGGUCAUCAAAGACGUGCGGGUUCUAGAUUUGGGUGUUUUGGUUCCCCUCAUGCGCGAUCCCGCGAUAAACCUGCAGAUCGUACAGUUGUUUCGCGAUCCGAGGGCUGUGCAUAAUUCUCGGCUCAAGUCCAAACUGGCUUUGGUGAAGGAGAGCAUCCAGGUGCUGAGGAGCAAGAAACAGAACGAUAAAUACAAGCGUCUUCUGGUGCCUAGCAACAGGGUGAAUCGAGCCGAGAACUACGUCUCGAGCGCAAUGGAGUUAAUAUGCGAUAACUGGCUCAGCGACAUGCUCCUGGUCUCGAACGCGCCGCCGUGGGUCAGGAGAAACUACUUGCAGGUCAAAUAUGAAGAUCUGGUCCUGAGACCUGUGGAUGAGCUCCAGAUACUCUAUCGAUUCUCCAACCUCACCCUCUCUCCAGCCUUGGAGAAGUUUGUGGUGAACAUGACCCAUGGACAGGGCUAUUCUUCAGAUAAGCCUUUCCUCAUAUCAUCCAGGGACGCGAAAGAAGCCAUAUUCGCCUGGAGGGAAAGGCUGAAUGUGGAGCAGGUGAACCAGGUUGAAGCUUACUGCAGUGAGGUCAUGAGACAGCUGGGUUAUCAGAAGAGGAACACGGACAAGACCUAAAUACAUCAAAGCAUGUCUGUCUGAGAACGGUGAAUAAAGCAGGAGUUACAGCACCGGGGCUGGAGCCUGAUUUACAGUAAGUAGAAGAGGAUAGAGGGAGAGCCUGACAUGAAUAUACAGCCAGCGGUGUUGAAACACUGACAGAGCCGAGGAACGACACCAAAAGAUCUCCCUCACACUGGCAUCAUGGGACACGGAGUGGAGAACACAAGGGUCUGAUCUCAAGACCUCAAAUUAUACUGACAAAAUUCCUAAGAGACAGAUACUAACAAUAAUAGGGUGGAAACAUAGAUGGAAACAGAUCAUGGAUAACCUACAAAAGGCUCAGUCCCGGCUGUGUACUGACAGCCAGAUUUCACCAGCAAUAAUCCCUGCCCCAAUCCCCAGCAGCCCCUAAUCAGCCACAGGAGACAGACGCUUGGGUCUUUGUGUUUGAGGGCACAUGUGCUUUUGCACAUUCGCAAUGCCUGAAGGGGCAAAAUAAAAGUGCCAAUUUGAACUUUCCAGUUCCAUUUCUUGGAGUACCAUUGAGUUCUCAGAAUGUUGGAAGGAUUCCACGAAAACAAAAACAUUUCUAGACAUACCUGUAUUCCUCAGCAAUAUGUGAAAAGAGGAUUAUCCAUCAUGAACAACCCAAUAUCUGUGUCACCGCCCAUGAAACUAAUGCAGACUUUACACUACAGUUAUCUGUAGUGUAAAGCACAAAGUGCUAUUUGGUGAACUGAAGAUCAAGAGAGGUAAAAGAAAGAGUUUUCCCAAAGGAAGUGCAAACACCUGUAGCCUCUUUCCAAUAAAACCCCCAAAGGAGGUGUGAAUUUUCCCAGUUCCCUCUGGAGAUCAUCAAUUCAUUCUUUUUGUAUUCAGGUUUCUUGAGUCUGCCACUGUUAGUCUUCACAGACUAACGUGUUCAUUUACACGAAUUCAAACAGGCCAUGAAAAGAAUAGGAUUACAAUUUGAAUACUUAAUAUGGGCAGAACCUCUAGUCUAUACUUAAAACACAAUCCGAAACAGAUGUUAAAUGGAAAUGCUCCUUGUCAGAAAUGUUGACAGUAUUAUCAUUUGUUUGUCCAAGUUAUUUUGUCAACUAGUCUUUUUGCAAUCCGCUGCAUCUUUAAUACAACACUUGUACUGUGAUGGAAUUAACAAAUGAACCCUUGAAUGAAAAAUUAUGUUAUUUAU